rnacentral:rRNA from 1 species
GCCAGACUCCUACGGGAGGCAGCAGUGGGGGAUAUUGGACAAUGGGGGAAACCCUGAUCCAGCGACGCCGCGUGAGUGAAGAAGUAUUUCGGUAUGUAAAGCUCUGUCAGCAGGGAAGAAAGAAAUGACGGUACUUGACCAAGAAGCCCCGGCUAACUACGUGCCAGCAGCCGCGGUAAUACGUAGGGGGCAAGCGUUAUCCGGAAUUACUGGGUGUAAAGGGAGCGUAGACGGUGAUGCAAGUCUGGAGUGAAAGGCGGGGGCCCAACCCCCGGACUGCUCUGGAAACUGUGCAGCUAGAGUGCAGGAGAGGUAAGUGGAAUUCCUAGUGUAGCGGUGAAAUGCGUAGAUAUUAGGAGGAACACCAGUGGCGAAGGCGGCUUACUGGACUGUAACUGACGUUGAGGCUCGAAAGCGUGGGGAGCAAACAGGAUUAGAUACCCGGGUA